ensembl:lncRNA
CUUCAUUGAGUUAAGACUUGAACUUGAGUACUGGACUCAUUAGAAUGUGAACUAACCAGCCUUUUCUUUACAUUUACAGUCCCUGUGUCUGCUGUUCAGGAAAAUGCAGGAUCCAGUAUGCAGACUGCACAGCAAGUGUGCAGACAAAUCCCUGUGUCUGCUGUUCAGGAAAAUGCAAGAACAGAAGUUGCACCCACCAUACAAAUACAAUUCCAAAAUGCAAAGCAAACAAUAGAAGUUCAAAAACAGAAAAUCCUUCACCUGUAGGAUACGGUUAACUCUCUGACAGAGGAGAGAAAUUAUCUUCGUGCAAGACUUGAAGAUGGUAAGUUACCCUCCAGCCAGUCACAUUGUACCCUACAUGAAGCAACUUAAAGGGUUAGUUCACCCAAAAAUGAAAAUUCUGUCAUUAAUGACCCUUAUGUCGUUCUAAACCCGUAAGACCUCUGUUCAUCUUUAGACACAAAUUAAGAUAUUUUGGAUGUAAUCCGAGAACUUCCUGGUCCUCUAUAGACUGUAUAAUCAUCAGUUUAAUCAGUUUAUUGUCAACUAAAAAAAAAAUUAGUCUGGGAGAGCCCAAUGUAUGCAAUCACUUUCAGUGCUGU